rnacentral:rRNA from 1 species
UACGUAGGUGGCUAGCGUUGUCCGGAUUUACUGGGCGUAAAGAGCGCGCAGGCGGUCGUUCAAGUCGAGUGUGAAAGCCCCCGGCUCAACUGGGGAGGGUCACUCGAUACUGAUCGACUCGAAGGCAGGAGAGGGUAGUGGAAUUCCCGGUGUAGUGGUGAAAUGCGUAGAUAUCGGGAGGAACACCAGUGGCGAAGGCGACUACCUGGCCUGUUCUUGACGCUGAGGCGCGAAAGCUGGGGGAGCAAACGGG